rnacentral:rRNA from 1 species
AGAUUGAACGCUGGCGGCAUGCCUAACACAUGCAAGUCGAACGAGAGUAAAGGGGCAACUUUUACUCUAGUGGCGGACGGGUGAGGAAUACGUAGGAAUCUACCUUAGAGUGGGGGAUAACUCGGGGAAACUCGAGCUAAUACCGCAUAUGUUCUACGGAGUAAAGGGGCGCAAGCUCUCGCUUUGAGAUGAGCCUACGUCGGAUUAGCCAGUUGGUGGGGUAAUGGCCUACCAAGGCGACGAUCCGUAGC